rnacentral:lncRNA from 1 species
GCUAACUCCAGCCCUGGGAACUCUACAGACUCGGAGGUCAGUGCCUGGAGGAGAGAUGUUGAAGUCCAAAGAGGUGAACAAUGGAAAGACAUCAGCUGUGAGUCAGUGGGGAGUGUCUGAGGAUGGAGGCGCUAUGGCUCCCUGGAGAUCUCUUGGUGUGUCCACAUGCCGGGUGGGUCCACGGACAGGAGCUCUUCUGGUGCUUCCCUCACUCCCCACCCGACCCAUGCAGUACCCACCCUCUGCAGCUGGGCCCUCCAGCUGGCUCAGCUCAGCCCUGUUUCAUGUUUAGUCGGUCUUUGAUCUUCACUCUUUAACUAAAGCCAGAGCCAGGUGAAACCUGAUUUUAUCCUUUUCUCAAAUGUGAACUAAGCUCAAAAGAAAGAGAAGGCUGAUAUGGACCCACAUCUAAACUCACAUCUGAAAUAAAAACUUGAG